rnacentral:misc_RNA from 1 species
CAAGCGCAGCACCAGGUGGAGAGCCGACUCCUUCUGAAUGUUGUAAUCGGCAAGGGUCCGUCCAUCUUCCAGUUGUUUUCCAGCGAAGAUUAGGCGCUGCUGGUCCGGUGGGAUUCCCUCCUUGUCUUGGAUCUUGGCCUUCACAUUGUCGAUAGUGUCCGAGGACUCUACCUCGAGUGUUAUGGUCUUACCCGUUAGGGUUUUGACGAAGAUCUGCAUCUUUGAUGGCCGAUGCAGAAAGCAAGGCGAGAAGAGGGUUUUCGGCUUAGGGUUGAAUGGUUGAAGCGUGAGUGGCAACU